rnacentral:rRNA from 1 species
AACGUAGGAGACAAACGUUAUCCGGAGUUACUGGGCGUAAAGGGCGUGUAGGUGGUAAUGUAAGUCUGGCGUGAAAUUUUUCGGCUUAACCGGGAAAGGUCGUCGGAUACUGCAUGACUAGAGGACGGUAGAGGCGUGUGGAAUUCCGGGUGUAGUGGUGAAAUGCGUAGAUCUACGAAGGAACGCCAAAAGCGAAGGCAGCUCUCUGGGUCCCUACCGAGCUGGGGUGCGAAAGCAUGGGGAGCGAACAGG